UUGAAUUUGAUAUUGCACAGCUUCCUUCAGAUCCUGGAUUGAGGGUUCCAAUACAAAAUUAUGAUGCUAAUGUUUGAGAUGUAAUUCGAAGAGCAUAAGUGCAAAGGGGUCCAUGUCAGCCUCGCAAUCAUGAAUUUCCACCUAAAAAAUGGCUAAAAAAGAUAGGUGAUUUUGUGUUUCAUGGUAUAACGAGUAUCCUAGUUGGUUGGAAUACAGUAUAGGAAAAAAAGCUGUAUUUUGCUUAAACUGCUAUCUUUUUAGCUCAAGUUGUGGUUCAUUUGUUAAUAGUGGGUUCUCAAAUCGGAAAAGAAAGGAAAUUAUUAGAAAACAUGUUGGGGCACCCCAAAUAGUGUACACUAUCAGGCUCGGGUCGGGUAUGAAUCAUUCAAAAAUCAAGGACAAAGCAUUCAAUUGUGUUUCUUUAAGCAAUUACAUCAAGUUCGAACAGAGUAUUGAAUUCAUUUGAAUGCAUCAAUUGGUUGUGUUCGGUUUAUUCUACGACAAUGGAUGGACAUGGUGAAUUUGAAGAUUCAAACAAUCGAGGAAACUUUCUUAAACUAAUACAUUGGUUGUGAUAUCAUAAUACUGAGAUUAAGGUUGUUGCUUUGAUGAAUGCACUUGAAAAUCACAAAUUGACAUCACCACAAGUUCAGAAAGAUAUUGUGAGUGCUAUCGCUUCUGCAACUCUUAAUGUGAUUUUCAAAGAUAUGGGAGAUGACUUGUUUUCUAUUGUAGUUGAUGAAUUUCGAGACAAUUCAAUGAAGAAUAAAUGUCAAUUAUCAUUCGUUAUGUAUAGAAUGGGCGUGUAUUGAAAUAUUUUAUUGGUGUCACGCAUGUUUGAAGUACCACAGCUAAUGUACUUAAGAUUGCAAUUUAUCAAUUAUUCUCCAUUCAUAACUUAAGUACAUCUAAUAUUAGAGGUUAAGGAUAUGAUGGAGUGAGUAAUAUGCGAGGUGGGAGAUUAUUCCUGUUAUGUGCAGCAAUUUUAUAUAUGGAAUUUGGGAUUCAAUAUUUCAAUUUCUUAUUCAUGUAAUUGUAACCCUUUUUUUUGUGUGCACUGUGCAGCUUCUUCAUUACAGUAUUUUCAUUCUUGAAAGCUAAGGUUCUUGCACUAGGAGAGGAAGAGAGGAGAGAGAAAUUAAAGGUUCUACUUACUUUCCCUGUUUCCCGUUUCUUCAGUUUCCAUACAUUUAUUCUUGUUUUUAAGAUUUGUGUUUAAGUUCUUAGAUGGUUAUGGAGGGGAAGGUCUAUAUGUUGAGAGUUUCUUAUACAUGCCCAUUUCAAGAAAUUCCGUUUCCAAAACAAAAAAUAACUUACCAGCAUUAUUUUGGUGAAAAAAAGAAGGAAAAAUGGAAGCCAAUUUGUUCUUUGAGACUUUGAUUUGUUCAAGAAAGCUUUUUCUGUUUGUAAAUUAUAAUCCAACUUCCAUGGAGAGGUUUAGGUGGCAGAAUUAUUGAAAAAAAUUGGUCAAUUUCAAGCUCUAAUUGGAAAUUGGAAUUAUGGCUGCGUUUGGGACCUUGGGUGUCUUGUUUACUACUAAUUUAUGAAAAUUAUUCACGUCUCCUUUGAAUUGUGUUGAUAAUGAAUGUUGAUACACAGAUAAUAUAAAUUAUGGAAUAUUUUUGUACUGUCUUCUGCUUUUUGUUAAAUCCUUUUUUUCUAUUAGUUGAAAUAUAUAUGUAGUGUUGAUUGCUCGCAUUGCCCCACCAUUCUAUUGUAUUGCUACUUGCUUCCAGUCCUCCAUCGUCGUCCGCCAGAGUAUUAAGAUUAGUAUAGCGUUCUGAUUUUAAUUCGCGUCCGAUGGCUCUGGUCAAUUUAUGAUUUUAGCGAAUUUGUGAUUUGUGAAUAUGUGAUUUGUAAAUUCGUGAUUGGAUAAUUAAUUCGUGAUUUGUGUUUGUCAAUUGUGAUUCGUGAGAUUUAGUUGUGGACUGCAUCAACAAUUCAAAAUAGAUACAACAUUAUUAUUGAGAUUGUAGUUUAUGAAACCGUUAAAAGUAGUAACUUAAACCAUUAUUCAUUAUUGAUAGACUGAUUACUUUUUCACUUGAAUUGAUUCUUCUCAUUGUAUGUUUGUAUCAGUUAUGGAAAAGAAUUUUAAACGUAAAUCUGCGUUUUCUUGCGAUGAGCAAAAUGUUAAUGGAAGAAAUGUUCAAGAUAAAAGGGAUGGACAUGAUGCUGAAGAUAAAAAGGAUGACAAACUUGGGGAUGAAAUGAAUGAAAUUGGUGGAACUAAUAUUGGAGAUGUCCCAAUUGAAACAAUUAUCAGGAAUGUUGGAGAUGAAAGGCUUGAAUUUGAUAUUGCACAGCUUCCUUCAGAUCCUGGAUUGAGGGUUCCAAUACAAAAUUAUGAUGCUAAUGUUUGAAAUGUAAUUCGAAGAGCAUAUGUGCAAAGGGGUCCAUGUCAGCCUCGCAAUCAUGAAUUUCCACCUAAAAAAUGGCUAAAAAAGAUAGGUGAUUUUGUGUUUCAUGGUAUAACGAGUAUCCUAGUUGGUUGGAAUACAGUAUAGGAAAAAAAGCUGUAUUUUGCUUAAACUGCUAUCUUUUUAGCUCAAGUUGUGGUUCAUUUGUUAAU
rnacentral:lncRNA from 1 species